AAUGAAUAAUUCUUUCUAAUGCCCUUUUCAUGAUGUCCCUUUUCAACUCUACCCUUUUGUUUUAUCUAUUUUUAUUUUUUCCCUCUUUAAAUUUUUAAUUACUUUUUUACCCUUAUUUGGAAAUUGUUUUAGGUCAAUAAAAUAAA
rnacentral:sRNA from 1 species